rnacentral:rRNA from 1 species
AGCGUAGACGGCAAGGCAAGUCUGAUGUGAAAACCCAGGGCUUAACCCUGGGACUGCAUUGGAAACUGUCUGGCUCGAGUGCCGGAGAGGUAAGCGGAAUUCCUAGUGUAGCGGUGAAAUGCGUAGAUAUUAGGAAGAACACCAGUGGCGAAGGCGGCUUACUGGACGGUAACUGACGUUGAGGCUCGAAAGCGUGGGGAGGCAAACG